UACGUAGGGUGCGAGCGUUUGUCCGGAAUUAUUGGGCGUAAAGAGCUUGCAGGCGGUUUGUCGCGUCUGCUGUGAAAAUCCGGGGCUCAACCCCGGACUUGCAGUGGGUACGGGGCAGACUGGAGUGUGGUAGGGGAGACUGGAAUUCCUGGUGUAGCGGUGGAAUGCGCAGAGUAUCAGGAGGAACACCGAUGGCGAAGGCAGGUCUCUGGGCCACUACUGACGCUGAGAAGCGAAAGCAUGGGGAGCGAACAGG
rnacentral:rRNA from 1 species